rnacentral:rRNA from 1 species
GUGGGGAAUAUUGGACAAUGGGCGAAAGCCUGAUCCAGCCAUGCCACGUGUGUGAAGAAGGUCUUCGGAUUGUAAAGCACUUUAAGUUGGGAGGAAGGGCAGUAAGUUAAUACCUUGCUGUUUUGACGUUACCAACAGAAUAAGCACCGACUAACUUCGUGCCAGCAGCCGCGGUAAUACGAAGGGUGCAAGCGUUAAUCGGAAUUACUGGGCGUAAAGCGCGCGUAGGUGGUUCAGCAAGUUGGAUGUGAAAGCCCCGGGCUCAACCUGGGAAUUGCAUCCAAAACUACUGAGCUAGAGUACGGUAGAGGGUGGUGGAAUUUCCUGUGUAGCGGUGAAAUGCGUAGAUAUAGGAAGGAACACCAGUGGCGAAGGCGACCACCUGGACUGAUACUGACACUGAGGUGCGAAAGCGUGGGGAGCAAACAGGAUUAGAAACCCGUGUAGUCC